rnacentral:rRNA from 1 species
AUUGAACGCUGGCGGCAGGCCUAACACAUGCAAGUCGAGCGGAUGAAGGGAGCUUGCUCCUGGAUUCAGCGGCGGACGGGUGAGUAAUGCCUAGGAAUCUGCCUGGUAGUGGGGGAUAACGUCCGGAAACGGGCGCUAAUACCUCAUACGUCCUGCGGGUGAUAGUUGGUGAUCUUCGGACCUCUCGCUAUCAGAUGAGCCUAGGUCGGAUUAGCUAGUUGGUGGGGUAAAGGCCUACCAAGGCGACGAUCCGUAACUGGUCUGAGAGGAUGAUCAGUCACACUGGAAGUGAGACACGGUCAAGACUCCUAAGAGAGGCAGCAGAGGGGAAUAUGGGACAAUGGGCGAAAGCCUGAUCCAGCCAGGCGGCGUGUGUGAAGAAGGUCUUCGGAGUGUGAAGCACUUUAAGUUGGGAGGAAGGGCAGUAAGUUAAGACCUUGCUGGUGUGACGUUACCAACAGAAGAAGCACCGGCUAACUACGUG